rnacentral:tRNA from 2 species
GUCGGCAUAGUUCAACUGGAUAGAACAUGGGCCUCCGGAGCCUAAGAUCUGGGUUCAAAUCCCAGUACCGACA